rnacentral:rRNA from 1 species
UACGGAGGGUGCAAGCAUUAAUCGGAUUUAUUGGGCGUAAAGGGCGCGUAGGCGGGAAGAUAAGUCAGAUGUGAAAUCCUGGAGCUCAACUCCAGAACAGCAUUUGAAACUAUCUUUCUAGAGGGUAGGCGGAGAAAACGGAAUUCCACAAGUAGCGGUGAAAUGCGUAGAUAUGUGGAAGAACACCGGUGGCGAAGGCGGUUUUCUAGCUUAAACCUGACGCUGAGGCGCGAAAGCAAGGGGAUCAAACAGG